AUCCCCUGCUGCUGAGACUGGGAGCACAAACAGGGAGGGGUGGCCCCACCCAUGGUGGUGACGGGUGUGGCUCCCUGGGCUGCUUACGGGAGCCGCAGGCCCUCUGUGCACCAGGAACCAGGGUAGCUUCAUUUCCCACCGCCACUCCCCUCACCUCCAGCAAACUCGGCAGAAGCUCCUUCAGCCCUGCUAUGCUUCCUGCCUCAGGAGCAGAGGCAAGGGACUGCCUGCCUUGUGCUUUCCCACAUCUCUCAUGACAUUUCUCUGUUUCUUCACCUCCCCUAGGGACCCUGCACUUGCUCCUGUGGUAAUUACACGAUAACGGGAACUGACAAAAAUAAGCCAGUGUCUACUGAGCCUAUCAGGCUUGUAAAUCUUCGUAAAUCAUCAAACCAUGUGGAGUAGUUAUCGCCACCCCCAUCUUACAGCUGAACAAAUGGAGACUCGGAGAAGUCAAGAAACUUGACCAAGGUCACCUAGCCGGUCACUUCCCUGCUCUGGGCCUCAGUCUCCUGAUCUGUAAAAUGAGCGGGCUAUACUAGGAGAUCGCAAGUACAGAAUCCUGCUUACCUGUGAUUAACUGAGCAUGACCCACCUAAUGAGAAGGUGGGGAUCCUGGGGCCUGGGGAUUAGGACUGUCCCAGGACAUAGCUAGAACCAAGCCAAGAAGAGAAAACCACGAGAUUUGACCCUUAGAAGAAAACUUGUUACUAAGAAGAGGACUAACACCCAAGAAUGGACCCAGUGGAGGCCCGGGUACGGCAGGGUGCCCUGAGAGCAGUAAGCCUCCGGAGGAGUCAUUUCGAAGCCGUUCUCCUUAGAAACAAGACACCGGGUUUGAGUUUGGGGGAGUGCAGUGAGGCACCUGGAGAUCUGGAGAUGAGGGACGGGCCCCAGCUGACAGGCUGCCUUCCCUGCAAGGCAUCUGGGUACAAAUGCUCGCAGCUCACAGCGCAUCCUGAAGAAGACUGAGGGUUACGGAAGCGAGGGGGUGGGGGGAUGGGGUAAAGGGGUGAUGGGAAUUAAGGAGAGCA